UUGCUGUGAGAAAGAUCAGAAGGUGAGAUUCUUAAAUAAAACCCUAGACCUAGUUCAGUUCAGAUCAUGAUCAGGCCUUGAUCUUUCUCUUUGAUCAGUUCAGCCACAAUCUAAUCUUGGAGAAGAGGAUCAGCUGAGGCCAUCUAGUCCUUUGGUUCAUCUUGUUUCAGGUCAGAGGUGGAGUAAGGCCUUAGGUAUCCAACCAGUUCCAAGACUAAUCUCUUAGGUAACCCUUAGGCGGGAGACACUUUACUCUUUUGGACGGAAGGAGCGGCCAACCAGCGGUAGUAUUUUGUUGUCCUUGCAACGUACCUUUUGAUGUAUAUUUACUUACAAUGUUGUUGGGCGAUAGGCCGUAGGGUAAACUAUAACACUUUGUAAGAUGUUUAAAGUAAAUAAAUAAUGUAUAAAAGAUGUUUAUAAAUCACGAGUUCUCAUAUGAUAUUAGUCCUUGUCCGGGACGAACUAACUAUCGAAUAUUGCUUUAUCGGGUUGAAAAGCCUAGAGUAAUAUCCGAUAGGAGUGUCUCUGUUCUUUGGUUGUUGGUCUAAGGUGAUCGGAUUUAUUUCGAGAACCUCG